UGGGCACCACCGAUCUUGCCGAUGC
rnacentral:piRNA from 1 species